rnacentral:rRNA from 1 species
CCUACGGGAGGCAGCAGUAAGGAAUAUUGGUCAAUGGGCGCAAGCCUGAACCAGCCAUCCCGCGUGAAGGAAGAAGGCGCUAUGCGUUGUAAACUUCUUUUCCAGGGGAAAUAAAAUUUCGUACGUGUACGGAACUGAAGGUACCCCUGGGAAUAAGCAUCGGCUAACUCCGUGCCAGCAGCCGCGGUAAUACGGAGGAUGCAAGCGUUAUCCGGAUUUAUUGGGUUUAAAGGGUGCGCAGGCGGAAUAAUAAGUCAGUGGUGAAAUCCUGCAGCUUAACUGUAGAAUUGCCAUUGAUACUGUUGUUCUUGAGUGUGGUCAAGGUAGGCGGAAUGUGUAAUGUAGCGGUGAAAUGCUUAGAUAUUACACAGAACACCGAUUGCGAAGGCAGCUUACUGGGCCAUUACUGACGCUCAUGCACGAAAGCGUGGGGAUCGAACAGGAUUAGAUACCCUUGGUAGUCCACGCCGUAAACGAUGAUCACUCGCUGUUAGCAGAUACACUGUUAGCGGCUAAGCAAAAGCAUUAAGUGAUCCACCUGGGGAGUACGACCGCAAGGUUGAAACUCAAAGGAAUUGACGG